AGUGAACGCUGGCGGUAGGCCUAACACAUGCAAGUCGAACGGCAGCACAGGAGAGCUUGCUCUCUGGGUGGCGAGUGGCGGACGGGUGAGGAAUACAUCGGAAUCUACUCUGUCGUGGGGGAUAACGUAGGGAAACUUACGCUAAUACCGCAUACGACCUACGGGUGAAAGCAGGGGUCCUUCGGGCCUUGCGCGAUUGAAUGAGCCGAUGUCGGUUUAGCUAGUUGGCGGGGGAAAGGCCCACCAAGGCGACGAGCCGUAGCUGGUCUGAGAGGAUGAUCAGCCACACUGGAACUGAGACACGGUCCAGACUCCUACGGGAGGCAGCAGUGGGGAAUAUUGGACAAUGGGCGCAAGCCUGAUCCAGCCAUACCGCGUGGGUGAAGAAGGCCUUCGGGUUGUAAAGCCCUUUUGUUGGGAAAGAAAUCCAGCUGGCUAAUACCCGGUUGGGAUGACGGUACCCAAAGAAUAAGCACCGGCUAACUUCGUGCCAGCAGCCGCGGUAA
rnacentral:rRNA from 1 species